CAAAGAUUGACAUUAUAUAGUUCUCAUGGAUGCUGGUGACUUUUUCCUUUGUUCUUCUCCAUAUUACUGUGCUCAGAAAUAUGUCACUGUUGGAAUUCCAGACUACAAGGAUGCCUUCCCCAGUAAUCAUCUUACACAGCAUAAGAAGUUCAAGCUGCACCCUUCUGCUGAAGUCCUCUGAGUAAAUUAGAUCAAAGAUGUUUUGGGCAGCUUUUCCAACUCCAGUCAGUCAAACCAAACAAAACCCAAUGAAGUGAAUGCCUUCUUGAUAAGGACUGCAUUUCUGGAGAAAAAAACAACCACCUAAAAAAAUCCUAUGGACCUCAUCAGACUCAAGUGGCAAAGAAAUCAAGCCAUUUCUCAAGCAGGAAAACUAUUUUUCAGGGAACAACCCUCAAAGAAAGGAGCUACUCCAGGAAGAUGAACAGUGUCUCAUGAAUGUCUCCUCCUAUUAAGCUGACCAAGGAGGGCUUAAUGAAGCUACAAUGUAGUUGGCAGUAAGGCUGAUGGUUUGAAAUCUGAAGGACUAGCACUAACUAAAAGAUGCAUCAGGUUUGACUUGGACUAUGUUGAUAAUGGCUCCCUCUACUGGGCAGAAUCAAUUGGUGAUAUUUACCUUGAGUGACCUAAGAUCUCAGAACACUGAGGAUUAAAAGGUGUUCAGCAUGUUCAAGUAUUUUCUUUGGCCUGGUUGAGCAGUACACCACCACAGAUAAAUUAGGUAUGAAUUAAUUUCAAUGCAGAGGCUUCAGGAGGCAUACUUUAAAUACAGCUGCAUCCUCUUCAAGGCUUUGUCUUCUGGGAUAACAGAUAAUAUUAUAGAAUGUGCUUACCUGAAGGGUUUGUAUUGCCUGAUGAAGAGCCCACCUUUUCUAGG